rnacentral:rRNA from 1 species
GCGUCGUCUUCAGAGUUUGAUCCUGGCUCAGGACGAACGCUGGCGGCGUGCCUAACACAUGCAAGUCGAACGGGGUUAGAUCUUCGGAUUUAACUUAGUGGCGAACAGGUGAGUAACGCGUGAGAAACCUGCCUUUCAGUGGGGGACAACAGUUGGAAACGACUGCUAAUACCGCAUAAUGUUAUUUGAGGGCAUCCUCAGAUAACCAAAGCUUUAUGUGCUGAAAGAUGGUCUCGCGUCUGAUUAGCUAGUUGGUGAGGUAACGGCUCACCAAGGCGACGAUCAGUAGCCGGUCUGAGAGGAUGAACGGCCACAUUGGGACUGAGAUACGGCCCAG